GUGAAUCAUCGAAUCUUUGAACGCACCUUGCGCCCCUUGGUAUUCCGAGGGGCAUGCCUGUUUGAGUGUCUUGAAAUCAUCAAGCCGUCGGGUUCGUUCCCGCGUCUUGGACUUGGGGGCUCUUGCUGCCGUGAGGCGGCUCCCCUUAAAUCCAUCGGUCGGCUCCUGCUUGAGCGCGUCCUGGCGUUGUACACACCUCGCUGGAUAAGCUGCCCUUGUGGACCGGCCCCGACCUGCUGCAGAGUGGCGGUCACAUACUUUGAAAUCUGACCUCAAAUCAGGUAGGACUACCCGCUGAACUUAAGCAUAUCAAUAAGCGGAGGA
rnacentral:misc_RNA from 1 species